AUGGGCCGAAAGCACUGCAGACGUUUGAACAAGGAAAUGGAGAGGGAGCCUGCUGGAAACAGGGCUUCACGCAGCCAGCCGUGGAUGAUGAAUAGAGUGUGAUUGUGUCUGACAGGAUGCAUUGAAGGUAGAUGGAAUCUAGGUGGAAAAUUUUUCCUUAUUCUGAGUCACUCCUCCCAUCUCCUUUCCAUUCCUUUGAAUUGAAGUGAACUCCCUUUCAUAGAGGUGUUGCCAGCCUGGCCUUCAGCAGCAGCAGCUCUUCUGUAACAUCUGAACUUCAAACAGUAGGUGGUGACAGAAAAUUUGCACUGGAGGACCAAGAUAUCAUGCUUUUCCAGCCUUAAAUGGUCCUUUCUUAAAAUAUGUCACAUACCAAUGCAAGACUCAAACACGUCUGGCUUGCUAAGUGAGCAUUUCUAUUUCUUUCUGUGGGACCAUUACAGAAGGGAAGGCAGAUGAACAUGGCUGAACUCAGUGCUGCAGUUUACAGAGAUUUCUGCUCACAGCACAGAAUUACACAUGGCCUGUCCUACAGCACAGACACACCGAGCAGUGAAUGGAAACAGGAGGCAAGGGAAAACAUUGUAAAAUCAUAGAAUCACCAAGGCUGAAAAAGACCUCCAAGAUCAUCCAGUCCA